rnacentral:rRNA from 1 species
AUCGGCCACAUUGGAACUGAGGACACGGCCAGACUCUACGGGAGGCAGCAGUAGGGAUCUCGCAAUGACGAAAGUCUGACGAGCACGCCGCGUGAGUGAUGAUGUUUUCGGAUCGUAAUGCUCUGUGUUAGGGAAGAACAAGUACUGUUCGAAUAGGGCGGUACCUUGACGGUACCUAACCAGAAAGCCACGGCUAACUACGUGCCAGCAGCCGCGGUAAUACGUAGGUGGCAAGCGUUGUCCGGAAUUAUUGGGCGUAAAGGGCUCGCAGGCGGUUUCUUAAGUCUGAUGUGAAAGCCCCCGGCUCAACCGGGGAGGGUCAUUGGAAACUGGGGAACUUGAGUGCAGAAGAGGAGAGUGGAAUUCCACGUGUAGCGGUGAAAUGCGUAGAGAUGUGGAGGAACACCAGUGGCGAAGGCGACUCUCUGGUCUGUAACUGACGCUGAGGAGCGAAAGCGUGGGGAGCGAACAGGAUUAGAUACCCUGGUAGUCCACGCCGUAAACGAUGAGUGCUAAGUGUUAGGGGGUUUCCGCCCCUUAGUGCUGCAGCUAACGCAUUAAGCACUCCGCCUGGGGAGUACGGUCGCAAGACUGAAACUCAAAGGAAUUGACGGGGGCCCGCACAAGCGGUGGAGCAUGUGGUUUAAUUCGAAGCAACGCGAAGAACCUUACCAGGUCUUGACAUCCUCUGACAAUCCUAGAGAUAGGACGUCCCCUUCGGGGGCAGAGUGACAGGUGGUGCAUGGUUGUCGUCAGCUCGUGUCGUGAGAUGUUGGGUUAAGUCCCGCAACGAGCGCAACCCUUGAUCUUAGUUGCCAGCAUUCAGUUGGGCACUCUAAGGUGACUGCCGGUGACAAACCGGAGGAAGGUGGGGAUGACGUCAAAUCAUCAUGCCCCUUAUGACCUGGGCUACACACGUGCUACAAUGGACAGAACAAAGGGCAGCGAAACCGCGAGGUUAAGCCAAUCCCACAAAUCUGUUCUCAGUUCGGAUCGCGGUUGAUCACUGCUCACGAUGAAGCCGGAAAGCAUUGUCAUAUAGGUUCUAGCAUGGCGAAAUGAUUCUUCGUAC